UCUAAAAGGCUUUUUAUUUGUUUGGUCUAAGGAAUGUUGAGUUGUUCUCAUCAGAGAGAUCCUGAUGAUUUGAAAGAUGGUAAAAUCUUGAUGCUGUGUCCUCUUGUGCAUCAACAGCUAUGGAACCAGCUCAAGUAAAGAGAAAAGAGGAAGACAAUUCAAUCUUUUCUAUAAUACAGUUGAUCAAAAGUAAUAAAAAUAUGAUACAUGGAAUGCAUAAAGCAGGCAACUCACAGAAAGAUAUACUUACUAAAGAAAGCAGCAUCCAGAAGGUUUACUGUGGAAUCUUUUGGGAUCAACACCUGUGGAGGAAGAGAAUAAGGCUGGAGUCUUCAGAGACUGAAUCUUGCUAAGUUGCCCAGGCUGGCCUGGGCCAAAAUUUUGGAUCCUCCUGUCCCAGCCUUCAGCCAAGUACCUGGGAUAGCAGGCAUGUAUCACCAUGUUCAGCUGUUGAGCUUCUUUUGAUGUGCUUAGUGGUCAUUUAUCAUGGCUAUAUUUUUCAUGGAUAGGAUACUUUAAAUCAAAUAACUUUCUAGGAUCAUUAUCUCCUCAUUUGGAGAGAAUUCUUCUCUGUCAAGGUUAAUAUCUAGAUUCCCCCAAGAGCCUUAUGUGCUCAGAGGUAGAGUUUUAGAACAGUGAUCAGAUUGUGAGAGCUUAUCGCUGACUUGCUGAUAGGUGGUGGAUUCUGGUCAGAAGAGGUG